GCUGCUGGUCCGUGGACUUACUUUGAGGGGUGAGGAUAAGGAUGACUGACAUUCGGGAACAAAAUCCCUUCAAUGAGCUCAGAAACCUUAGGACCUGAACAGCAGUGUUACUGCCAUCUCACAGAAAUAUUAAUAGAAGCUGAGAUUUGAGGGCCAGUGCCACCUUAUAUGCAACUGACUCCAGACCUGUGCUGAGUUCCAAGCUGAGCCACACAGCAACGUGAAGAAGCUAGAACUGUUAACUCAUCUUGACAGGAACUGAAAAACUCAAAGAAGAAAAUGAAACAAGAAGCUCCUAGCAAACCCUGUAAAUGGAAACCUGUGUAGAAGCUCCUGGAAAACCAAUAUUCCAGUUCUAAUGACAUCCAGAUCUGAGAGGGAAAGGGGUUCAGGCCCAACAGAUGGGGGGCAGAGUCUUUACAGUUUGUUCAACCCAGUAUGAAUGAUGGGCAUCGGAAAGGAACUUUGCGGACGCUGAAGUGAUAUAUGAAUAUGGGUUGCUGUCUUUAUUACUUAAA